GUAGGUGAACCUGCGGAAGGAUCAUUAACACGUUCUAAACGUAUCAACCAAACCGCGAACUCUGACGUUAGUAACCUCUCUCAGGGCUUGCUCUGGGAGACGGUUACGCCUGAGCUUUGUUAGGGGAAAGUGCUGUGUGUAGGAGCUUGCUCCUCUCACAGAGGCUUCCUUUAACACUGUUCAUAUUAACCCAAACCAUAUCUAUUGUUUAUUUCUCUGUUCUAAAGGACGUGGCGUUCAUCGCUAUUGU
rnacentral:misc_RNA from 1 species